ACUUAAAACUCAAAGGACUUGGCGGUGUCCCACAUUCGACCUAGAGGAGCCUGUCCUAUAAUCGAUACUCCCCGCUCUACCUCACCAGCACUAGCACCAACUUCAGCCUAUAUACCGCCGUCGACAGCUUACCCCCUGAGGGUUUAACAGUAAGCACAAUAGUCCUACCACUAACACGUCAGGUCAAGGUGUAGCUAAUGUGCUGGCAGAGAUUGGCUACAUUUUUUAUUUUAAAAAACACGAAAUGCUAUAUGAAAAACAGCAUGAAGGCGAAUUUAGUAGUAAAACAGACA
rnacentral:rRNA from 1 species